AUUUCCUGUAGCAGCUUAGGACAGUACAGCUUGUGAGUUAACAGAUCAGGGUGAGCCUCAGUGUUUCCUGGUGUACUGUACUCAUCCGCCAACUUAGGACAGCUGUUUAGUGAUCGCAGAGGUGCAACACCCGUUUCAGAGCCAUUUACAUCAUUUAGUGAGGAUUCCUGUGUCUGACAGUACUGAACCUGAGGAAUUUCACACAUUUUUGAGCAGAGACCAGGUGUGCAGUAUCAACACCUUUUAGUUACAUUUUGACAUGAAUUGUUGGAGAGAACUUGAAUACCAUGGCCAUGAGAUAUGACUUUAGAUAUAGAAUGCAAAAAUAUGCAGUAUUGUUGCAUUUGUGAUGAAAAGAAAGACAAUUUUCCCAUUUUUUACUGAAAAAUAAGCUUUUUUUUAACCAAAAAAAAUUCACUAAACACUAAUUUUGUUCUAUAUUUUAUCACAGUUGCAUAAUUAUAAGUUUUUUUCAGUGUAGUUGUCUAUUCCGCACUUGCUGGUGGUAUAUUUGAUGUAAUAUCUUACGGGUUUUUUGAAAAAACAGCGUUUAAUGACUAUAUGUGAUUCAGCCACAUUUAACGGCUUAAACCGCAGUCUUUGGACAAAAUGAUGGCUGUACAAAAAUAGUGAUUUUGAGAAAACUACUGGUUUGUUUGGGCUGAAACUUGUUUUAUAAGCUGAAUAUAGAUGAAACUUCACAUAGAGAGCAAAAAAGCUGAAAAAAAAAUUUCAUAUUUCCUUA